GGGGUGCAGCAGGCGCGAAAACUUUACAAUGCUGGCAACAGCGAUAAGGGAACCUCGAAUGCCAGGUUACAAAUCUGGCUGUCGAGAUGCCUAAAAAGCAUUUCAUAGCAAGGGCCGGGCAAGACCGGUGCCAGCCGCCGCGGUAACACCGGCGGCUCGAGUGGUAACCGUUAUUAUUGGGUCUAAAGGGUCUGUAGCCGGCCGGAUAAGUCUCUUGAGAAAUCUGGCAGCUUAACUGUCAGGCUUUCAGGAGAUACUGUCUGGCUCGAGGCCGGGAGAGGUGAGAGGUACUUCAGGGGUAGGGGUGAAAUCUUGUAAUCCUUGAAGGACCACCAGUGGCGAAGGCGUCUCACCAGAACGGACCUGACGGCAAGGGACGAAAGCUAGGGGCACGAACCGGAUUAGAUACCCGGGUAGUCCUAGCCGUAAACGAUACUCGCUAGGUGUCGGCCACGGUGCGACCGUUGUCGGUGCCGUAGGGAAGCCGUGAAGCGAGCCACCUGGGAAGUACGGCCGCAAGGCUGAAACU
rnacentral:rRNA from 1 species